AGAGUUUGAUCCUGGCUCAGGACGAACGCUGGCGGCACGCUUAACACAUGCAAGUCGAACGAGAGAAGAGGAGCUUGCUUUUCUGAUCUAGUGGCGGACGGGUGAGUAACACGUGAGCAAUCUGCCUUUCAGAGGGGGAUACCGAUUGGAAACGAUCGUUAAUACCGCAUAACAUAAUUGAACCGCAUGAUUUGAUUAUCAAAGAUUUAUCGCUGAAAGAUGAGCUCGCGUCUGAUUAGCUAGUUGGUAAGGUAACGGCUUACCAAGGCGACGAUCAGUAGCCGGACUGAGAGGUUGAUCGGCCACAUUGGGACUGAGACACGGCCCAGACUCCUACGGGAGGCAGCAGUGGGGAAUAUUGCACAAUGGAGGAAACUCUGAUGCAGCGAUGCCGCGUGAGGGAAGAAGGUUUUAGGAUUGUAAACCUCUGUCUUCAGGGACGAAAAAAGACGGUACCUGAGGAGGAAGCUCCGGCUAACUACGUGCCAGCAGCCGCGGUAAUACGUAGGGAGCGAGCGUUGUCCGGAAUUACUGGGUGUAAAGGGAGCGUAGGCGGGAUCGCAAGUCAGAUGUGAAAACUAUGGGCUUAACCCAUAAACUGCAUUUGAAACUGUGGUUCUUGAGUGAAGUAGAGGUAAGCGGAAUUCCUAGUGUAGCGGUGAAAUGCGUAGAUAUUAGGAGGAACAUCAGUGGCGAAGGCGGCUUACUGGGCUUUAACUGACGCUGAGGCUCGAAAGCGUGGGGAGCAAACAGGAUUAGAUACCCUGGUAGUCCACGCCGUAAACGAUGAUUACUAGGUGUGGGGGGACUGACCCCUUCCGUGCCGCAGCAAACGCAAUAAGUAAUCCACCUGGGGAGUACGACCGCAAGGUUGAAACUCAAAGGAAUUGACGGGGGCCCGCACAAGCAGUGGAGUAUGUGGAUUAAUUCGAAGCAACGCGAAGAACCUUACCAGGUCUUGGCAUCGUAUGCAUAGCUCAGAGAUGAGUGAAAUCUCUUCGGAGACAUAUAGACAGGUGGUGCAUGGUUGUCGUCAGCUCGUGUCGUGAGAUGUUGGGUUAAGUCCCGCAACGAGCGCAACCCUUACUGUUAGUUGCUACGCAAGAGCACUCUAGCAGGACUGCCGUUGACAAAACGGAGGAAGGUGGGGAUGACGUCAAAUCAUCAUGCCCCUUAUGACCUGGGCCUCACACGUACUACAAUGGCUGUCAACAGAGGGAAGCAAAGCCGCGAGGUGGAGCGAACCCCUAAAAGCAGUCUUAGUUCGGAUUGUAGGCUGCAACCCGCCUACAUGAAGUCGGAAUUGCUAGUAAUCGCAUAUCAGCAUGCUGCGGUGAAUACGUUCCCGGGCCUUGUACACACCGCCCGUCACGCCAUGGGAGUCGGUAACACCCGAAGCCUGUAGUCUAACCGCAAGGAGGACGCAGUCGAAGGUGGGAUUGAUGACUGGGGUGAAGUCGUGACAAGGUA
rnacentral:rRNA from 1 species